CAAGUCGAACGCGAAAGUCCCCUUCGGGGGGCAAGUAGAGUGGCGCACGGGUGAGUAACACGUAGGUAAUCUACCUUUGGAUGGGGAAUAACAACCGGAAACGGUUGCUAAUACCGCAUAAUGCAGCGGCACCUAAUGGUGACAGUUGUUAAAGCGGGGGAUCGAAAGACCUCGCGUCUGAAGAGGAGCCUGCGGCGGAUUAGCUAGUUGGUAAGGUAAUGGCUUACCAAGGCUACGAUCCGUAACCGGCCUGAGAGGGCGGUCGGUCACACUGACACUGACAUACGGGUCAGACUCCUACGGGAGGCAGCAGUCGGGAAUUUUGGGCAAUGGGCGAAAGCCUGACCCAGCAACGCCGCGUGAAGGAUGAAAUCCCUCGGGAUGUAAACUUCGCAAGAACAGGAAGAAUAAGUAGGGGACAAUACCCCCUAUGAUGACGGUACUGUUUGUAAGCUCCGGCUAACUCCGUGCCAGCAGCCGCGGUAAUACGGGGGGAGCAAGCGUUGUUCGGAUUUACUGGGCGUAAAGGGCGCGUAGGCGGUCAGCACAAGUCAGUUGUGAAAUCUCCGGGCUUAACUCGGAAAGGUCAACUGAUACUGUGCGACUAGAGUGCGGAAGGGGCAACUGGAAUUCUUGGUGUAGCGGUGAAAUGCGUAGAUAUCAAGAGGAACACCUGCGGCGAAGGCGGGUUGCUGGGCCGACACUGACGCUGAGGCGCGAAAGCCAGGGGAGCGAACGGGAUUAGAUACCCCGGUAGUCCUGGCCUUAAACGAUGAAUGCUUGGUGUCUGGGGUUAUAAAGUCCCCGGGUGC
rnacentral:rRNA from 1 species